rnacentral:rRNA from 1 species
UACGGAGGGUGCGAGCGUUGUCCGGAAUCACUGGGCGUAAAGGGCGCGUAGGCGGCCUGAUAAGUAGGGGGUGAAAUCCCAGGGCUUAACCCUGGAAGUGCAGUGGAUACUGCUAGACUAGAGUACUAUAGGGGUGCGUGGAAUUCCCGGUGUAGCGGUGAAAUGCGUAGAUAUCGGGAGGAAUACCAGCGGCGAAGGCGACGCACUGGAGAGUAACUGACACUAAACUGCGAAAGCGUGGGGAGCAAACAGG